UGAGCAAUCUGCCCUUCUCUUCGGAAUAAGCGUUGGAAACGACGUCUAAUGCCGAAUACGACCUCCUUUCGCAUGAUCGGAGGUGGAAAGCUCCGGCGGAGAAGGAUGAGCUCGCGGCCUAUCAGCUAGUUGGUGUGGGUAAUGGCCCACCAAGGCGACGACGGGUAGCCGGCCUGAGAGGGUGACCGGCCACACUGGGACUGAGACACGGCCCAGACCUCCUACGGGAGGNAGCG
rnacentral:rRNA from 1 species